rnacentral:rRNA from 1 species
CAACAGGGAUUGCCCUAGUAACGGCGAGUGAAGCGGCAACAGCUCAAAUUUGAAAUCUGGCCUCGGCCCGAGUUGUAAUUUGCAGAGGAAGCUUUAGGCGCGGCACCUUCUGAGUCCCCUGGAACGGGGCGCCAUAGAGGGUGAGAGCCCCGUAUAGUUGGAUGCCUAGCCUGUGUAAAGCUCCUUCGACGAGUCGAGUAGUUUGGGAAUGCUGCUCAAAAUGGGAGGUAAAUUUCUUCUAAAGCUAAAUACCGGCCAGAGACCGAUAGCGCACAAGUAGAGUGAUCGAAAGAUGAAAAGCACUUUGAAAAGAGGGUUAAAUAGCACGUGAAAUUGUUGAAAGGGAAGCGCUUGUGACCAGACUUGCGCCGGGCUGAUCAUCCGGUGUUCUCACCGGUGCACUCUGCCCGGCUCAGGCCAGCAUCGGUUCUCGCGGGGGGAUAAAGGCCCAGGGAACGUAGCUCCUCCGGGAGUGUUAUAGCCCUGGGUGCAAUGCCCUCGCGGGGACCGAGGUUCGCGCAUCUGCAAGGAUGCUGGCGUAAUGGUCACCAGCGACCCGUCUUGAAACACGGACCAAGGAGUCAAGGUUUUGCGCGAGUGUUUGGGUGUAAAACCCGCACGCGUAAUGAAAGUGAACGUAGGUGAGAGCUUCGGCGCAUCAUCGACCGAUCCUGAUGUUUUCGGAUGGAUUUGAGUAGGAGCGUUAAGCCUUGGACCCGAAAGAUGGUGAACUAUGCUUGGAUAGGGUGAAGCCAGAGGAAACUCUGGUGGAGGCUCGCAGCGGUUCUGACGUGCAAAUCGAUCGUCAAAUCUGAGCAUGGGGGCGAAAGACUAAUCGAACCAUCU